rnacentral:rRNA from 1 species
UAACACGUGGGGAACCUGCCCCAUAGUCUGGGAUACCACUUGGAAACAGGUGCUAAUACCGGAUAAUAAAGCGGAUCGCAUGAUCAGCUUUUAAAAGGCGGCGUAAGCUGUCGCUAUGGGAUGGCCCCGCGGUUCAUUAGCUAGUUGGUAAGGUAAAGGCUUACCAAGGCGAUGAUGCAUAGCCGAGUUGAGAGACUGAUCGGCCACAUUGGGACUGAGACACGGCCCAAACUCCUACGGGGAGGCAGCAGAU